CCUACGGGCGGCAGCAGUGAGGAAUAUUGGUCAAUGGACGAGAGUCUGAACCAGCCAAGUAGCGUGAAGGAUGACUGCCCUAUGGGUUGUAAACUUCUUUUAUAUGGGAAUAAAAUGUUCCACGUGUGGGAUUUUGUAUGUACCAUAUGAAUAAGGAUCGGCUAACUCCGUGCCAGCAGCCGCGGUAAUACGGAGGAUCCGAGCGUUAUCCGGAUUUAUUGGGUUUAAAGGGAGCGUAGGUGGAUUGUUAAGUCAGUUGUGAAAGUUUGCGGCUCAACCGUAAAAUUGCAGUUGACACUGGCAGUCUUGAGUACAGUAGAGGUGGGCGGAAUUCGUGGUGUAGCGGUGAAAUGCUUAGAUAUCACGAAGAACUCCGAUUGCGAAGGCAGUUCACUGGACUGCAACUGACACUGAGGCUCGAAAGUGUGGGUAUCAAACAGGAUUAGAUACCCGAGUAGUC
rnacentral:rRNA from 1 species